rnacentral:rRNA from 1 species
GACGAACGCUGGCGGCGUGCCUAAUACAUGCAAGUCGAGCGGACGGAUGGGAGCUUGCUCCCAGACCGUCAGCGGCGGACGGGUGAGUAACACGUGGGCAACCUGCCUGUAAGACUGGGAUAACUCCGGGAAACCGGGGCUAAUACCGGAUAACUCAUUCCCUCACAUGAGGGAAAGCUGAAAGAUGGCAUCUCGCUAUCACUUACAGAUGGGCCCGCGGCGCAUUAGCUAGUUGGUGAGGUAACGGCUCACCAAGGCGACGAUGCGUAGCCGACCUGAGAGGGUGAUCGGCCACACUGGGACUGAGACACGGCCCAGACUCCUACGGGAGGCAGCAGUAGGGAAUCUUCCGCAAUGGACGAAAGUCUGACGGAGCAACGCCGCGUGAGUGAUGAAGGUUUUCGGAUCGUAAAACUCUGUUGUCAGGGAAGAACAAGUACCGGAGUAACUGCCGGUACCUUGACGGUACCUGACCAGAAAGCCACGGCUAACUACGUG